GACGAACGCUGGCGGCGUGCCUAAUACAUGCAAGUCGAACGCAGUGGGGACGGGUGAGUAACACGUGGGUAACCUCCCAUCAGAGGGGAUAACACUUGGAAACAGGUGCUAAACCCUUACUGGUGGAUGGACACGCGGUGCAUUAGCUAGUUGGUGAGGUAACGGCUCACCAAGGCCACGAUGCAUCACGGACCGGGGAGGUUGACCGGCAAAAUGGGGACUGGGACAGGGCCAAGAUGCCUACGGGAGGAAGCAGUGGGGAAUCUUCGGCAAUGGAGGAAAGUCUGACCGAGCAAGGCGGCGUGAGUGAAGAAGGUUUCCGGAUCGUAAAACUCUGUUGUUAGAGAAGCGGUAUCUAACCAGAAAGCCACGGCUAACUACGUGCCAGCAGCCGCGGUAAUUC
rnacentral:rRNA from 1 species